rnacentral:rRNA from 1 species
GAGUUUGAUCCUGGCUCAGAAUGAACGCUGGCGGCGUGCCUAACACAUGCAAGUCGAGCGAGAAAGUCCCUUCGGGGGCGAGUACAGCGGCGAACGGUUGAGUAACACGUGAGAAUCUACCCUUUAGUGAAGAAUACUCUCGAGAAAUCGAGGUUAAUACUGCAUACGUCCCUUCGGGGAGAAAGAUGGCCUCUUUGCUAUCGCUGAAGGAUGAGCUCGCGGCCUAUCAGUUUGUUGGUGAGGUAAAAGCUUACCAAGGCUAUGACGGGUAGCUGGCCCUAGAGGGUGUCCAGCCAGAUUGGGACUUAGACACGGCCCAGACUCCUACGGGAGGCAGCAGUGGGGAAUCUUGCGCAAUGGGCGAAAGCCUGACGCAGCGACGCCGCGUGAAGGAUGAAGGUCUUAGGAUUGUAAACUUCUGUUAAGUGGGAAGAAAUCUCUGAUAAGAAUAUGAUCAGAGGAUGACGGUACCAUUAGAGAAAGCACCGGCUAACCUCGUGCCAGCAGCCGCGGUAAUACGAGGGGUGCUAGCGUUAUUCGGAAUUAUUGGGCGUAAAGGGUGUGUAGGCGGUUUGUUAAGUUUGUUGUUAAAUUCUUCAGCCUAACUGAAGAUCAGCAGCGAAAACUGACAGACUAGAGGAUGGAAGAGAGAAGUGGAAUUCUCGGAGUAGCGGUAAUAUGCGUAGAUCUCGAGAGGAACACCGAUGGCGAAGGCAGCUUCUUGGGCCAUUCCUGACGCUGAGACACGAAAGCGUGGGGAGCAAACAGGAUUAGAUACCCUGGUAGUCCACGCCGUAAACGAUGAUCACUAGACGUCAGUUUUGCUUAGCAGAACUGGUGUCGUAGCUAACGCGUUAAGUGAUCCGCCUGGGGACUACGGUCGCAAGACUAAAACUUAAAGAAAUUGACGGGGGUCCGCACAAGCGGUGGAACAUGUGGUUUAAUUCGACACUACGCGAGGAACCUUACCUAGGCUUGACAUGUAUUUGACAGUCGUAGAAAUACGAUCUUUUGGACUUUGUUCAGACAGAUACACAGGUGCUGCAUGGCUGUCGUCACCUCGUGUCGUGAGAUGUUUGGUUAAGUCCUCUAACGAGCGCAACUCCUGCGGCCAGUUGCUAUUCCUUCGGGAAGCACUCUGGCAGGACUGCCUGGGAAACCAGGAGGAAGGUGGGAAUGACGUCAAGUCAGCAUGGUCCUUAUGUCUAGGGCUACACACGUGUUACAAUGGUCGGUACAAAGGGCUGCCAACCCGUAAGGGUGAGCGAAUCUCUAAAGCCGAUCUAAGUUCGGAUUGGGGUCUGCAAUUCGACCUCAUGAAGUUGAAAUCGCUAGUAAUCGCAUAUCAGAACGAUGCGGUGAAUACGUUCUCGGACCUUGCACAC